rnacentral:sRNA from 1 species
UAUUCUGCCCCACGGGGAAGGAUGAGAAGCUUCGACUAAGGUUCGACUCGAGCGAAGCGAGAGAACGUUGCCGCAGGCAACGGCCCGAAGGGCGAGGAGCGAUAGCGACGAGUUAUCCUUCCCC